CUUGCUUCUCUUGAGAGCGGCGGACGGGUGAGUAAUGCCUAGGAAUCUGCCUGGUAGUGGGGGAUAACGUUCGGAAACGGACGCUAAUACCGCAUACGUCCUACGGGAGAAAGCAGGGGACCUUCGGGCCUUGCGCUAUCAGAUGAGCCUAGGUCGGAUUAGCUAGUUGGUGGGGUAAUGGCUCACCAAGGCGACGAUCCGUAACUGGUCUGAGAGGAUGAUCAGUCACACUGGAACUGAGACACGGUCCAGACUCCUACGGGAGGCAGCAGUGGGGAAUAUUGGACAAUGGGCGAAAGCCUGAUCCAGCCAUGCCGCGUGUGUGAAGAAGGUCUUCGGAUUGUAAAGCACUUUAAGUUGGGAGGAAGGGUUGUAGAUUAAUACUCUGCAAUUUGACGUUACCGACAGAAUAAGCACCGGCUAACUCUGUGCCAGCAGCCGCGGUAAUACAGAGGGUGCAAGCGUUAAUCGGAAUUACUGGGCGUAAAGCGCGCGUAGGUGGUUUGUUAAGUUGGAUGUGAAAUCCCCGGGCUCAACCUGGGAACUGCAUUCAAAACUGACUGACUAGAGUAUGGUAGAGGGUGGUGGAAUUUCCUGUGUAGCGGUGAAAUGCGUAGAUAUAGGA
rnacentral:rRNA from 1 species